CUUCAUGACUGGAUACAGGAAUAAUCCCAAAAGAGGAAAAAUGGUGAUGUUCACGAUAUGCUGUGUCAGCUGGUGUAUUGGCUAGAGCUGCUCUGACAAUUUCUGUCUGACCCAUUCCUACAUGUCCAAGAGAGGCCAGCUUGCACCCAGCAUUUUUUCUUUAAUACAUUCAGUACCGAUGGCAAGCUGAUUGCAUGUUGUCCUUAACAGAUUUCUUUCAUAGUGAGUUAUCACUGACAUGGAAUGAAUUCCAUAAAUGGAAUUCAGUCAAGUUCCAUCUCUAAACUCCAGGUCUGAGGAGACUUCUUAAAUAGCUUCAAGGUCUGUGCUGUAUUUUUCACACAAUGGUGCAAUUGAUGAGAAGGUGAAGUUUUCUGACAGUAAAUUGCUUCUUUACAAACAAUACACAAGUUCCGGGUUUGUUUCAAAUUCAAGAGAAACCAAAAAUACUGGGUAGAGUGGCUGGUGAAGGUGCUGUUAGAAAAUUCUUCAUCAGCAUCUUGGGCAGAGGGCAUGAUCAUCUUCGUGUAAAGUAUCUUGUUGAAGAUGGGCUCUGGGAUUUCCCUGUCUUUUUUAUGUUAAUUCUGCCUAGAACUGGAACUAAGGAAGCAGUCUUUUAGUGAGGAAAAAUUGAACAGAAAUUACACUACGAUCAGAGCUGCACAGCACUGGAAAACAAAGGACUGCUUUUGCUCAGUGCCCUGGAAAACAGCUUACCUCCCAUGAGUGAAGGUGAGGGACUGCAGUGUUCCUCUGCAGCUGGAUUGUACUUGUGAUACGCGAAAAGUUUCCUCACCAUCAGCCAGUGAGUGGCCCCAAGCAGACAACCAGUACUGUCUCCAAUCUCCAGAGCUGCCUGUUAAGCAUUGAGGAGAAAAGACACUUUUUCUUCCUCCCUGUGCCUUCAGGCAGGAUGCACUGCACUGGAAGGGUGCAGCUACUCAAUCUCCAGCUCCCUGGUGUUCUGUGCUGGGAUAGAGAAUUUAGGAGCCUUUGAGGCCACAACAGAUUUUUAGGACAUGUUUGCUUACAGACAGAUAAAUGUUAAUGCAAUUAAGUGAUACCAAGAGAGAAGCAACAAAAUCAUUCAUUAACUUUAAAUUUAGGAGUUGUUGGUUCCAGCUUAUUGUUGAUUCCAGCUUUUGGGACUGGCUAAUGAUCUACUGCUUUUUCUAGAGCUCAUACCUUGGAAAGUUCCUAGGGCUACAUAAUUCCCACUCCUUUUGAAGCAGAUAAUUAGUGGAGACACCCUGAGUUAAUUCUGCCUUUUUUCCAUUCUGAAU